rnacentral:rRNA from 1 species
UACGUAGGGUGCGAGCGUUAAUCGGAAUUACUGGGCGUAAAGCGUGCGCAGGCGGUUCGUUAUGUCCGAUGUGAAAGCCCCGAGCUCAACUUGGGAAUGGCAUUGGAAACUGGCGGGCUGGAGUGUGGCAGAGGGGGGUGGAAUUCCACGUGUAGCAGUGAAAUGCGUAGAGAUGUGGAGGAACACCGAUGGCGAAGGCAGCCUUCUGGGCCAACACUGACGCUCAUGCACGAAAGCGUGGGGAGCAAACAGG